UUUGUUCCUAUAAUUUGCAUUACCGCAGAGGGUUCAUGGUUACCCUGUCGGGGUUGGUAUUAGUCCUAGGGUGGAUGCUGAGCCUAGAGCAAACCAAGACACUGAUGAGUGAAGUGGUACAAGAGGAAAGUAAGACAUCUUGUAGUUUGACCAGGCGGAAACCACGACACUCCAAUGUAUUAGGAUGUGGCCUGUGAGCACUGACAUACAUCCUACACAGUGUGGG
rnacentral:lncRNA from 1 species